AGGCUGCAGUGGGGAAUAUUGGACAAUGGGCGAAAGCCUGAUCCAGCCAUGCCGCGUGUGUGAAGAAGGUCUUCGGAUUGUAAAGCACUUUAAGUUGGGAGGAAGGGUAGUAACUUAAUACGUUGCUACUUUGACGUUACCGACAGAAUAAGCACCGGCUAACUUCGUGCCAGCAGCCGCGGUAAUACGAAGGGUGCAAGCGUUAAUCGGAAUUACUGGGCGUAAAGCGCGCGUAGGUGGUUCAGUAAGUUGGAUGUGAAAUCCCCGGGCUCAACCUGGGAACUGCAUCCAAAACUGCUGAGCUAGAGUACGGUAGAGGGUAGUGGAAUUUCCUGUGUAGCGGUGAAAUGCGUAGAUAUAGGAAGGAACACCAGUGGCGAAGGCGACUACCUGGACUGGUACUGACACUGAGGUGCGAAAGCGUGGGGAGCAAACAGGAUUAGAUACCCGGGUAGUC
rnacentral:rRNA from 1 species